UGUAGCAUACAGGUGGCGCACGGCGCACGGGUGCGUAACACGUGGGCAAUCUGCCCUCGGAUGGGGGAUAACUCGUCGAAAGGCGAGCUAAUACCGCAUGACAUUCCGAAGACUCCGGUCCUUGGACUCAAAGGCCGCAAGGCCGUCUGAGGAGGAGCCCGCGCCCGAUUAGCUAGUUGGUGAGGUAACGGCUCACCAAGGCUUUGAUCGGUAGCCGGUCUGAGAGGAUGGCCGGCCACACUGGAACUGGGACACGGUCCAGACUCCUACGGGAGGCAGCAGUGGGGAAUAUUGCGCAAUGGGCGAAAGCCUGACGCAGCGACGCCGCGUGGGGGAUGAAGCUUCUCGGAGUGUAAACCCCUUUCGACCCGGACGAAUGACCCGCAAGGGUUUGACGGUACGGGUAUAAGAAGCCCCGGCUAACUACGUGCCAGCAGCCGCGGUAAUACGUA
rnacentral:rRNA from 1 species